rnacentral:rRNA from 1 species
ACUCCUACGGGAGGCAGCAGUGAGGAAUAUUGGACAAUGGGUGAGAGCCUGAUCCAGCGACGCCGCGUGAGUGAAGAAGUAUUUCGGUAUGUAAAGCUCUAUCAGCAGGGAAGAAAAUGACGGUACCUGACUAAGAAGCCCCGGCUAACUACGUGCCAGCAGCCGCGGUAAU